GUCUCAGAUCACCUGAAUGGGAGAUGAAAUGCUGACUUUUAGUGACAUGCCAUGGCAUAGUGGCUCCCGACAGUUACAACUUAAAAUGAAGUUACCUGAAUUAAGAAGACUGCACAAAAGACCCAUUGAAUUAUAUAUCACCUCAGGACUCGUAUUAUCAUCUUGUAGAAGUUUGUGUAACCUUUGAACUAGCUGUGAUUCCUUAAAUGAUUCUUCAAGCGUUUCUGAAAAAUAAGUAAACAAAUACCUGAGAUGUACAUGAAAAGAAGCUAGAAAGUGAACAUGCUUGCUUUUUAAAAAUAAAAUUUCUGACUGGCUUAAUUUCAAAUUGGCUAUACAGGGAUGUCUUGGGCAUCUAUUUUCUGUACUGGAAAAUUUCUCUAUUUUUUUCACUGGCCUCAUUAUGGAAGACAGAACCUGUAUACUAUAGAUUGUAUAAAAUAACUUCAUCAUAGAUUAAAAUUUGCUAGGAAUGUUGAUUCACGUUAGUUUCCUGGUUGAGUUUGAGAGCCUUAAUGGUGGACCAAGCAGUAAAAUUGGCUCUUUACUGUCUUGCUUGUUGGUAUACAAAAUUCAAAAUUUCAAGUUGACUAUUACUUUUCAAUUUAUCUCUUGAUGUACGUAGAUUUCUGUGGUGACUGUCUUUAUUGUAAUAAAUUGAGUCCCAUUUUCAAAUGUGA